UACGUAGGGGGCAAGCGUUAUCCGGAUUUAUUGGGCGUAAAGAGCUCGUAGGCGGCCGUUCGCGUCGGAUGUGAAAGCUCAGGGCUCAACUCUGAGACGCCAUUCGAUACGAGACGGCUAGAGGUAGGUAGGGGAAAGUGGAAUUCCUGGUGUAGCGGUGAAAUGCGCAGAUAUCAGGAGGAACACCGGUGGCGAAGGCGGCUUUCUGGGCCUUACCUGACGCUGAGACGCGAAAGCGUGGGGAGCAAACAGG
rnacentral:rRNA from 1 species